UAGUGAGUUUGAUCCUGGCUCAGGAUGAACGCUGGCGGUCUGCUUAACACAUGCAAGUCGAACGGAGUACUUUCGGGUACUUAGUGGCGGACGGGUGAGUAACGCGUGAGAAUCUGCCUUCUGGUCGGGGACAACCACUGGAAACGGUGGCUAAUACCGGAUAUGCCUAUGGGUGAAAGAUUAAUUGCCAGAAGAAGAGCUCGCGUCUGAUUAGCUAGUUGGAGAGGUAAAGGCUCACCAAGGCAUCGAUCAGUAGCU
rnacentral:rRNA from 1 species